ensembl:lncRNA
UUUUUUUUUUUUUUUUUUCUAUUUUGCUGACUUUCUUUUUUAAAAGCAAAAUAAACUGAGGUGACUUGUUCAGGGUUAACUGUUUGGCAGGUGGAUGACCUGUGGCCAUCCACGACGAGAUCACCUCCCUGCCCUGCUGACCCCCAGCCUCUAGAGGUCAGGGCUUCUGAGGCCCAGAAGCUCAGAGCCACACCUGUUGAAGGCCGGUGAUGUCAGAAUUACUCUUCCUUCCUCCAGCAGCAUUGACAGCAGUUUAUUGUACGCAGUUUCUAGAACUCAGAUGUUCUAGAAGGAAGCAAACAUAUUCUGAGACCAUAGACAAUGACUGUGCUCUCAGAAUAUGUCUGCUUCCUUCCUGAACACCUAAGUUGCAAUUCUUAAAAUCAACAUAGUAUAAGACUGUUUUAGGAGGAAGUGAUUGAGCUCAAAGCAACACUAGGCAUGAUGUGCCUUGUUUAUCUGUUUGAACAGGAGUAAAACAAAAAGAGGCCUAUGUAUUUCUCGUAUUUUUAUAUAAGAGCUGGAGCUAUUUGAAUGGCUAAGGAGGAGAAGAUAGUUUGAUUUAGAUUUGGCACAGGUUUAGGGGAAGAAACGUCUUUGUAGCUGGUCCUAAAUAUUAUGGUAACUUGGACUGAGUCAGUCUCCAAGGGAGAAGUUGCCACAUGUUAUAACAGAAGCCACUGGGCUUGGCAAGAAAAGAAAUGAAAAAAGUACAACGAAAGCAACCCCACUUCUCCAUCGUGGCGGGGAUGAGCUAGGCAGGAUGACUGCAUGUAACCGUCUUCCUUUCCUUUGCCUGACCAAAUCCAGCACUGCCCUUUCAAAUCAGUCUUCAUCACAUUCCAAAGAAUACAAAAUACGCAAGUCAAUUUUAAUUUCCAAUGAAUUCUUCAGGAGAAAUUUUUCUUCCUCCUUACUAAAAAAAGAAUAAAAAAUUCAGAAUAGAUUCAAAAUGAGGGGUGGCAGCAAAAAUUCUGACUCUCGGAAGGUUGAGAGGGUGCCUUUUUCAAAUGUAUUUAUUUUAUAGUUCCAAGAAGGUAAGAGUACCUUCUGUUUUGAUUCAUGCUCCACCAUUCCCCUCUUAAAUUUUAAAAAAAUUACAUCCUUGCCUAUGUCUGUCUUGCUAUUUUGACUGGCCAUUUCCAAACAUAAACUGCCCUAGUUUGAAGCUUCUCAAAGCCAAGCAAAGGUGACAGUCUAGUACAAAGAAGGCCGCUAGUGAGUUUUCACUGAGUGAAUCUACAUUGUUCCGUGGCCUUAGUCUGGAUAUGGAUUCUAAAGCUUCUUACACUGACAAAAACGGAGUUUCUAGCUCUCCGGGUAAUUUUCGGUGAAAGAAAAUUAUAAAAGAAGGCAUAAACCUUGGCUCACAAAAUAAAUAUGCACUCAGACCCAUGUACUUCAUGAAACAUACAAGCCCAGAGCUAGACCAUGCCAUCUGUUUUAUGAGGAAAAAAAGUAAAUUCACAUGAUUUACUUUAGCUCUGCCAGAAAUCAUCAGCAUCUACUUGCACAACUAAAGACAAGAAGACAAGGCAGAUGGAGGCUAAACACCGAAUACUGCCUAAUUUUGAUGUGUAUUUUUUGGUCAAACCUCUUAUAAUUUACUAUUUCCAAGAGGAAAAAUAAGCUUAUAUAAUGGCAGUGAAUCAUUAGUUUCCAGUUAUGGGAAGCAAAGGAAAUUAACCUCAAGGAGAAAAAAAUGCUACAAAUAUAAAUGAUCUAGUUUCAGUUUACAAAGCAUGUACUGCCUUUUCUUUCUUUUUUUAAAGAAGAUAUGUUUACGAAAUAGGUGACAGACUAAGGUAGGUGUGUGUGAAGAGAGGCAGUGAGAGAGAGGGGAGCCUGAAAUUCUUCUCAGUACAGGAAAAAGAUAAUUUUGGGGAUGUUUUAAAAAAUAUAUAACUUGAUGAAUAUUUUAUAGCAUGAGUAUUACUUAGGUGCUGUCCUAGACCAGUGUGGUGUACAGGCUAUAAAAGAUUGGUCCUGAAUCCUAACGGCAGGGAUGAGUAUAAGAUUAUCAAGACUUCUUUGCGGGAAGGAGAGCUACUGACAAAGCCGUGUAUUACACGACUCCAGUCCGGGCUGAGAGACCUGUCUUAAAGCAUAGCUAGAGGGCAGACGUGGUGGCUCAUGCCUGUAAUCUCAGCACUUUGGCUGAGGCAGGCAGAUCACUUGAGGUUAGGAGUUCGAGACCAGCCAACAUGGUGAAACCCCAUCUCUACUAAAAAUACAAAGAUUAGCCAGGUGUGGUAGCGUGUGCCUGUAGUCCUAGCUACUCAGGAGGCUGAGGCAGGAGAAUGGCUUGAACUGGGGAGGCAGAGGCUGCAGUGAGCCAAGAUUUGCAGUUGCACCAUCUCAGCUCACUGCAACCUCUGCCUCCUGGGUUCAAGUGAUUCUCAUGCCGCAGCCUCCCAAGUAGCUGGGACUACAGGCGCCUGCCACCACGCCCAGCUAAUUUUUGUGUUUUUAAUAGAGAUGGGUUUUUGCCAUGUUGGCCAGGCUGGCCUUGAACUCCUGAUCUCAAGUGAUCCACCCGUCUCAGCCUCCAAAAGUGCUGGGAUUAUAGGUGUGAGCCACCGCGCCAGGCUGAUGUUGCAGUCUUGAGUCUGAAGGGAGUCUGGAGACAGAGUUCCUUCUUUAGGGACUUCAGUCUUUUUCUCUUAAGGCCUUCAACUGAUGAUAUAUGAAGCCUACAUACAUUACAAAGGAUAAUCUGCUUCACUCAGUCUACUGAUAUAAAUGUUAAACCUCAAUCUAAAAAAAAUACCUGCACAGCGACAUCUAGCCUGGUGCUUGACCAAGUAUCUGGGUACUGUGGCCUUGCCAAACUGAUACAUACAAUUAGCCAUUACACCAUCCUUUCAGAAGAGGUGAUGCCCACACCGAAGGAAAAAACCUCUAGACUCCACAGCCAUUUAACCUUCUGUUGGAGACCAUGAUCGAGGCAAGGAAUUCAGAUGAGGCUACUCUCUUCUUCACAGGUGAAUUCCAAGCCUCUCACAGCUUCCAAGGCAUUUCUUAUUCUGGUUCCUGCUCACCUCUCUAGCCUAAUCUCCUCGCUGUUCCCUCCAUUCCAGCCACAUGUGGUUUUUGAUUUAAAGACAUUGUGUUCCUCUCUUGCUCUGCCUGAGUACGCGCUACUUCCAUGGCCUGGGAUGUGCCGUUUUCCCACUUUUUAUCUGGGUCCUCAUCAUUUGAGUAUCAUGUUGAGAACCACAUCUGCCUCUAGAGAGCUUCCCUGACCUGACAAGGUUAGGCCAGUAAGUUCCUAUGGCCAAUCUGCACACCUCCUGCCUUACACUCAAGCCACGCCAUCAGGGCUCCCUCCCAGCCUGGCAGCUCCAUGAAGGACGCACCUCUCUUGUUGACCUCAGCAUUCGUGCUGCCAAGCUGGUCUAUGAAGACACAACAAGUAACUACUAAAUAAAUAAAUGAGGAUGCAGACCUUCAAUCCUCCC